rnacentral:rRNA from 1 species
AACGUAGGAUCCGAGCGUUAUCCGGAAUCACUGGGCGUAAAGGGCGUGUAGGCGGUUUGGCAAGUCGGUCAUGAAAGCUCCCGGCUCAACUGGGAGAGGUUGUUCGAUACUGCUAGACUAGAGGGCAAGAGAGGGAGGUGGAAUUCCCGGUGUAGAGGUGAAAUGCGUAGAUAUCGGGAGGAACACCAGUGGCGAAGGCGGCCUCCUGGCUUGCAUCUGACGCUGAGACGCGAAAGCGUGGGGAGCGAAC